rnacentral:misc_RNA from 1 species
UUUUACUAUUGUGUUUUUACUCGGACGAUACUGAUAAAAGGAGUUUGAUGGGUCUCUGACGGGCACGAGACGGCCGGGGCGAAAGCCCGGAGCCGCCAUGGGGCGAACCCCAAGGCCCGCCAAAGCAACAAAGGUAGAUACACAAAGGGUGAUGAGUUGGGGGCCGGAGCCCCCGGGGUCCGAAAACCCCUCUCAGUAAUGAUCCUUCCGCAGGUUCACCUACGGAAA